CCUACGGGAGGCAGCAGUGAGGAAUAUUGGUCAAUGGGCGCGAGCCUGAACCAGCCAAGUAGCGUGAAGGAUGACUGCCCUACGGGUUGUAAACUUCUUUUAUAAAGGAAUAAAGUGAGGCACGUGUGCCCUUUUGUAGGUACUUUGAUGAUAAGGCUCGGCUAACUCCCUGCCAGCAGCCGAGGUAAUCAGGAGGAACCUGUCGGUUUCCGGAUUUAUUUGGUUUAAAAGGAGCGUAGAGUGGUUGUUAAGUCAUGUGUGAAAGUUUGCGGCUCAACCGUAAAAUUGCAAUUGAUACUGGCAGCCUUGAGUACAGUUGAGGUAGGCGGAAUGCGUGGUGUAGCGGUGAAAUGCUUAGAUAUCACGAAGAACUCCGAUUGCGAAGGCAGCCUACUAAACUGCCACUGACAUUGAUGCUCGAAAGUGUGGGUAUCAAACAGGAUUAGAUACCCGAGUAGUC
rnacentral:rRNA from 1 species